AUAUCUUUUAGGGAGAUACACUGCAGCCUGCAACAGUCAUGUUACCCAGGAAACAGACUCUGAGAUUGAGAUUUGCUUGCAGGGGAUUUGUAAUGGAAUACACUGGGGAACAACAUCCUUAAGGGAGGGAGGGAAGCUGGAUUAAGCUGAAAGAGAAGUUGAACUGCACUGCAGUAUAAUGGAAGCUUCAGGAAAUUCCACUGGGAGCUCUGAAGCUGGGAAGGCUUUUCAGAGAUGUUCAUAAUUAAGAUAGGUGGUCCAGGCUUUUGUACUCCUGCAUCAUCCAGUCAUUGGAUGUAGGCUGCCAUUGGAGAGGGGCAAAGCAGCUCCCUUUAGCCUAGGACAGGUCCCAUAGAGGGACAUAGACCAGGAUUGUCAGCAAAUGUGGGAAUGAAGGUCUUGGUCCUGGAGGGAAGAUCUGGGAUGCCUUCCCCAGCACCCAGCAUAUCAUGCUUUUUAAAUAGAGCUCAAAAAUAAGCAAAAUGAAACACCAUGUUAUUAUUUCAUAUAUAUUUUGAUAUAAGCAUAUAUAUUUAAAAGCAGUAGAACGAUAUACAACAUUUAGGGCUGUGCUUACCUUUGGAGAAUGGACUAGGGAUUGGACAACUGAAUUUAAAGGCAAGUUAAAGUUCAAUAUUUUGAACAAUGUUUAAAUCAAGAUGAGCGAGAAGACAGAACUGUUAAAAGGUUUUAUUUUACAGCCAAGUGAAGGAUUCAGCUAUGUCCCAAAGGAUUAAACAAGAUGGUAUGCUUAAUAA
rnacentral:lncRNA from 1 species